rnacentral:rRNA from 1 species
UGAUCAUGGCUCAGAUUGAACGCUGGCGGCAGGCCUAACACAUGCAAGUCGAACGGUAACACAGAGAGCUUGCUCUCGGGUGACGAGUGGCGGACGGGUGAGUAAUGUCUGGGAAACUGCCUGAUGGAGGGGGAUAACUACUGGAAACGGUGGCUAAUACCGCAUAACGUCGCAAGACCAAAGAGGGGGACCUUCGGGCCUCUUGCCAUCAGAUGUGCCCAGAUGGGAUUAGCUUGUUGGUGAGGUAACGGCUCACCAAGGCGACGAUCCCUAGCUGGUCUGAGAGGAUGACCAGCCACACUGGAACUGAGACACGGUCCAGACUCCUACGGGAGGCAGCAGUGGGGAAUAUUGCACAAUGGGCGCAAGCCUGAUGCAGCCAUGCCGCGUGUAUGAAGAAGGCCUUCGGGUUGUAAAGUACUUUCAGCGGGGAGGAAGGUGUUGUGGUUAAUAACCGCAGCAAUUGACGUUACCCGCAGAAGAAGCACCGGCUAACUCCGUGCCAGCAGCCGCGGUAAUACGGAGGGUGCAAGCGUUAAUCGGAAUUACUGGGCGUAAAGCGCACGCAGGCGGUCUGUCAAGUCGGAUGUGAAAUCCCCGGGCUCAACCUGGGAACUGCAUUCGAAACUGGCAGGCUUGAGUCUUGUAGAGGGGGGUAGAAUUCCAGGUGUAGCGGUGAAAUGCGUAGAGAUCUGGAGGAAUACCGGUGGCGAAGGCGGCCCCCUGGACAAAGACUGACGCUCAGGUGCGAAAGCGUGGGGAGCAAACAGGAUUAGAUACCCUGGUAGUCCACGCCGUAAACGAUGUCUACUUGGAGGUUGUGCCCUUGAGGCGUGGCUUCCGGAGCUAACGCGUUAAGUAGACCGCCUGGGGAGUACGGCCGCAAGGUUAAAACUCAAAUGAAUUGACGGGGGCCCGCACAAGCGGUGGAGCAUGUGGUUUAAUUCGAUGCAACGCGAAGAACCUUACCUGGUCUUGACAUCCACAGAACUUUCCAGAGAUGGACUGGUGCCUUCGGGAACUGUGAGACAGGUGCUGCAUGGCUGUCGUCAGCUCGUGUUGUGAAAUGUUGGGUUAAGUCCCGCAACGAGCGCAACCCUUAUCCUUUGUUGCCAGCGAUUAGGUCGGGAACUCAAAGGAGACUGCCAGUGAUAAACUGGAGGAAGGUGGGGAUGACGUCAAGUCAUCAUGGCCCUUACGACCAGGGCUACACACGUGCUACAAUGGCGCAUACAAAGAGAAGCGACCUCGCGAGAGCAAGCGGACCUCAUAAAGUGCGUCGUAGUCCGGAUUGGAGUCUGCAACUCGACUCCAUGAAGUCGGAAUCGCUAGUAAUCGUGGAUCAGAAUGCCACGGUGAAUACGUUCCCGGGCCUUGUACACACCGCCCGUCACACCAUGGGAGUGGGUUGCAAAAGAAGUAGGUAGCUUAACCUUCGGGAGGGCGCUUACCACUUUGUGAUUCAUGACUGGGGUGAAGUCGUAACAAGGUAACCGUAGGGGAACCUGC